CGUUAGCGGCGGACGGGUGAGUAACACGUGGGUAACCUACCAUAAGACUGGGAUAACUCCGGGAAACCGGGGCUAAUACCGGAUAACACAUGAAACCGCAUGGUUUCAUGAUGAAAGACGGUUUUGCUGUCACUUAUAGAUGGACCCGCGGCGUAUUAGCUAGUUGGUAAGGUAACGGCUUACCAAGGCAACGAUACGUAGCCGACCUGAGAGGGUGAUCGGCCACACUGGAACUGAGACACGGUCCAG
rnacentral:rRNA from 1 species